rnacentral:misc_RNA from 1 species
UUUCCGUAGGUGAACCUGCGGAAGGAUCAUUAUUGUAUAACCGAGGUGCGAGGGCUGUCGCUGACCCGAAAGGUCGUGCACGCCCGAGUGCCCUCACACACAUCCAUCUCACCGCUAUGUGCACCACCGCGUGGGUCCCCCUUUGGCUUGUUCGGAGGGGGGCUUACGUUUUCACACAAACUUAGUAUGCAGUGUAGAAUGUAUUUUUUGUUUUUGCGAUCACGCAAUCAAUACAACUUUCAACAACGGAUCUCUUGGCUCUC